UAUAUAUAACCUAUAUAUCAUAUAUAUGUCAUGUGGUUCUGACCUGGCCUCUCAUAUCUUGAAAGUAAGUAAAAAUAUUCUGAACAAAAUGCUUAUCCCUCAGCCUAAUAGAUUUGGAUGUUGAACUGAAAAAACACCAUCCCUAUUUGCCACUUGAACUUCUCAGUAUAGUAUUGUCAUUUCAUAAAAUUCCUGAUUUUGCAAUGGCAAAUUUCUGUGGACAACACUUUUACUGGCUGCCAUAGAACUACAUUUUAUAAUAAAAAUAACUCCAUGCUUUUAUUUUUACUGAAGAAGGUGGUGUCCAUAUAAUCCAAGUUCAUGUGGUACAGAGGACAGAAUUGAGUAAGAAAUAAGAACGAAACCCGUAUAGCCCUUUCCUCUGAUUCGAUCAUUAAGGCAUCAAGGGAAACAGUUGAAUGUGUUCUUUAUAUAUACUCCUGAAGUAUUAUAUGAGAACGACAGAACCUUUCACAAAAGUUUAUGAAAGCAAAUUUCACACUGAAUUCUUUUAUCAUUUGAAGAGGAAGGUGUAACUUGAACAUUCAAAAAAAAUCUACAGAGGCUGUGUUUGGGUUAAGAAAAAAAAAAAAAGAACACACUCCUGACAAUCUUCUCACACCAUGUUAUUGAGCCCACAUUUCUUGUUAUUAAAUGUGCCCAUGAGUUUUUGUGACCAUUCACCCAAAAAGGUCACUUGGCAUUUUAGCUCCUGAGAUGGGGACACACUAGGUGGGUGAUAAUUACCAGAGAAGGCAAAGGGAUAAACUUAGAAGCCACUGUCCCUACAACUUUAAAAACUCAAACUCUACCUCCUGUUGGGGCAUAAAAUUUUGAAAACCAUUUGUAGAGGUAUCAGUGAGAGCCUGGGUAUAAAAGAGGAAUGAUGCUUUGCAAAAUCCCCCAAGACUGCCUGAGCUUUUUCAUGGUAAUGAAGAAAUGUCAGUGGAAGUUGAUGGGGUGUGUGUGCAUGUAUAUGGAUGUGGGGGUGGAUGGGGCGAGAGGGAGGGAAAGGCUGGCAGACUGAAAUUUUACAUCUGAAAUGUCAUUUGGAAAUCACUUGUGUACUCCAAGUCCAAGUCCUAAACUCUUCUUCUGCUAUUAAAAAUGGUCUGAAAACAGAUCAUGUUCUUAGAAUAUAAAAUUUAUAAAAAGGAAUGUAAUAACUAAAUUAGAUCACCAAAUCAAAUUUCAAGGUGGAGACUUUAGGAAUGCAAAUGAAGAGGAACAGGGGAAACACAGACAGGUCACAGUCUGUGGACAUAUGAUUAGUCUGUAGUCAUAGUAAGUAAUACAAUAAUACAAAUGAAAUUUACUGAGCAUCUAUUAUGUACUGUCCACUUGGGUAAGCUGUUUACAUAGAUGAGAUAACCACUGUUAUUAACCUCAUUUCACUAGGUUUAGAGAGGUUAAGUAACUUGCACAAUUAUACAACUGAUGAGUGGUGGAGGCAAAAUUUUAACUAAUGAACAUAUGCUAUACUAUAUGUAGCAUGGGCUUAACUCAUCCUAUAAACCAUUAUGUACUAAUACCUCUCUAUGGUGCAGCCUGAGAAAUAGAUCACAAGGAGAGUGAAGACUUCUUAGAAAUCUUGGAAGAUUUCUAAUAUUUGACUCUGCCUAGUAGUGUUUUCAUCACUCAAUAAAACUUUAUAGAUUAACCCUUAAUGCUGAGUCUAAUUGUCCAUGCAGAUAAUUUACCUAAGUUGAUCAACCUUAAUGGUAAUUUAGUCUGUCUUUGUAAGUGCACCUUUAGCAAAGGAUGACCAUUGAUAAGUUUUCAUUAUACAAAAUUGCUGCUUGUCUGAUCACAUUCUUUGUCAGUUGAAGGGAUUUCUAGAAUAAUAUAAGACAGUAGUAUACGGUCUAUGUAAUAAAAAUGAUAUAUAUUAUAGUACAUAAUAUAAGACUCCAUAAACUUCGUGAAGAUAAAAUAUUACUUACACAUGAUUUAGCUACUACACC
ensembl:lncRNA